rnacentral:snRNA from 1 species
AGCUUUGCAGAGUGUCAGUGUCGUAGCCAGUGAGGUUUAUUCAAGGCAUGGUUGUUGCUAAUUAAAACUGGGUCUUAGUCCCUGCCAAAGUAUUUGUCGACUUUUAGUCUAGUACUAAUGCU